rnacentral:misc_RNA from 1 species
UCGCGGCUUAUCACCGCCAGUCCCCUUAGAGUGCCCAACUGAAUGAUGGCAACUAAGGGCGAGGGUUGCGCCCCUUGCGGGGAAACCGGAUCUCUCCGGCGAGCACAGGAUGUCAAGGCCUGGUAAGGUUCUGCGCGUUGCGUCGAAUUAAACCACAUGCUCCACCGCUUGUGCGGGCCCCCGUCAAUUCCUUUGAGUUUCAACCUUGCGGCCGUACUCCCCAGGCGGGACGCUUAAUGCGUUAGCUGCGCCACUGACAAGCAAGCUUGCCAACGGCUAGCGUCCAUCGUUUACGGCGUGGACUAC